rnacentral:rRNA from 1 species
AGGACAAACGCUGGCGGCGUGCUUAACACAUGCAAGUCGAGCGGAAAGGCCCUUCGGGGUACUCGAGCGGCGAACGGGUGAGUAACACGUGAGCAACCUGCCCUUAGCUUCGGGAUAGCUCCGGGAAACCGGAAUUAAUACCGAAUAUGAUUUUUGCUGACAUCAGCAGAAGUGGAAAGUUUUUCGGCUAGGGAUGGACUCGCGGCCUAUCAGCUAGUUGGUGAGGUAACGGCCCACCAAGGCGACGACGGGUA